CAGAUCAUCAUGGCCGCCAUGAUCGCCCCGCGUGAGCGCGGCCGGUACAGCGGCUACCUCGGCGCCACCUUCGCCG
rnacentral:tRNA from 1 species